rnacentral:lncRNA from 1 species
UAUAGCAUACCUCUUUUACCAUCCUACUGAACAAAAGGUGUUUGUCAGUAAAAAUAUCACUUUUAUGAAAAAAGAGUUUAUCCUAGAAAGAGGCAGUGGGAAGAAAAUUAAACUUGGAGAAGUUCAAGACCUACAAAUAGAAGCACAAGAUAAUCCUCAACUAGAAAUAUCUAUUGAUGAGGUUCAACCACAAAAUACACCUCCUCUCCGA